rnacentral:tRNA from 1 species
GGUGGAUCGUAUAAUGGUUAGUACACAGCACUUUGACUGCUGUAGUUUGAGUUCGAUUCUCAAUCCACCUGCCA